CCUUUAAGCCACAGCGGCAAUUGGCUGUGGCGCGGUGUGUCAUGUGAGUGAGGAGCACCAAUUGCUAAGGUUUUAGUUUCUUUUAAAAACGCUACACCUGCUUCAACUUGGCGUCGGCUGGUCGGUCAUCAUCUGGCUCUUUGUUCGGUUGUCACUGGGAGAGCCCGCGUCCGUAGGCAUCUGUAUUCCACGGGAUGUGGAAGCCCGCGUGGGGUUGUCUGGUCCUGCGGUGCGUCUUUUGGCCAAAAGCGUAAUCGCUUCUUGGGUCCCAGCUGAGCUGCUGGCGUGGGCAUUGGCUCAACCUCUCCUGGCAUGGUUUACCUAGCCUGUCCGUUUAACCACCGUUGCCCUUGCUGCUGUCUGCGUAGGCGAUGUGCCUCGCCCAUUCGGUAGCCUGUGAUCGUUGUAUGUAGGGCCAACGGCCCUUGACGCGCUGCUGUUUUUGUUCUCCCGACAAGUAUUGUGUACGAGUGUGUGCGUGUGGAGACUUGACGCGCGGUGCGCGCUUUGGAACUGUCCGUGCAUGGAGUGCGGUUGGAGAGUGUGUUUGGUGACGCGCGUUGAGCGCUGGGACUCUCAGUCGAGUGUGUGUGAAUGCGUGUGUACGUGUGUGUUCUAUUUCUUUUGUUUGAUUAAUUUACGUUUGAUUUCUGUUUCGUUUCUUAUUGUAUUGAUGUAUUGUGUGUUGGCCGUGUCGGGUACACCACACACCUGUAACUGGUCAGUAGGACCACAGUAGCUUCUCACGUGCAGUGCUUAGGCCUUAUGCCGAGUGUAACUUUGUGUGCUGUGUUAAUGAUUCACUUCCAUGCAUGCUUAUAUUCAACUAGAUGUGCUUGCUGUGCUAAUUGUGUGUUACAUCGUGUUAACUUGUACUGAAGCUACUCAGUAGGGGAAACCUAAGCCAACUCAUUAUUGUGUGACUACCUGUCCCGCGCCAAUGUACUUUUUGUUUAUUUUGUGGUCUUAAUUAACGUUGUAUUUUAUACGUCCUGAAGUAUUAAA